AACAACGGGUGGAGCCUGCGGUUUAAUUGGACUCAACGCCGGACAACUCACCGGGGGCGACAGCACUAUGUAGGCCAGGCUGAAGACCUUGCCUGAAUCGCUGAGAGGAGGUGCAUGGCCGUCGCCAGUUCGUACUGUGAAGCAUCCUGUUAAGUCAGGCAACGAGCGAGACCCGUGCCCACUGUUACCAGCAUGUCCUCCGGGACGAUGGGUACUCUGUGGGGACCGCCGGUGUUAAAUCGGAGGAAGGUGCGGGCCACGGUAGGUCAGUAUGCCCCGAAUCUCCCGGGCUACACGCGGGCUACAAUGGAUGGGACAAUGGGUCCCUACCCCGAAAGGGGAUGGUAAUCUCACAAACCCAUUCUUAGUUCGGAUCGAGGGCUGUAACUCGCCCCCGUGAAGCUGGAAUCCGUAGUAAUCGCGUUUCAAUAUAGCGCGGUGAAUACGUCCCUGCUCC
rnacentral:rRNA from 1 species